UACGGAGGGAGCUAGCGUUGUUCGGAAUUACUGGGCGUAAAGCGCACGUAGGCGGCUUUGUAAGUUAGAGGUGAAAGUCCGGGGCUCAACCCCGGAAUUGCCUUUAAGACUGCAUCGCUUGAAUCCAGGAGAGGUGAGUGGAAUUCCGAGUGUAGAGGUGAAAUUCGUAGAUAUUCGGAAGAACACCAGUGGCGAAGGCGGCUCACUGGACUGGUAUUGACGCUGAGGUGCGAAAGCGUGGGGAGCAAACAGG
rnacentral:rRNA from 1 species